CCAAUUGAAUGCUCCUGGAAACGAAGGGUACAUCCGAUUUUGAUGAAUUCACCAAACCAUGGAAGCAAGUUUAACUCGCGGGGUCCCAUCCACUCGCGCCAACCCUUCCAAAGGUAAGGCUUCUGCGCGGUGAAUCCGGACUUAUAACCAUGGACCCUCUUUGACUAAACCUUAUCCUUAAACUUUAGAGAACUUGAGUCAUGGUUAGGAUGCAAACUCAUUGCAUCAUAUUGUGACUACUUGACUACUUGUGCAUACUUAUUAUGUGGCUAAGCUAACCGUUUGUCUUGUCUUGUGUUUGUAAUUAAAGUCUUAACCAACUAACCAACGGCUAAAAGACUUUGCUUAAUUAAUUGAUUAAUUAAUUUGAACCAAUAAAUAUGUCUAAAAUCGAGUCAUAGUUCCCUUGAGUCAACCCAGCUUUUUAUUCCCGUAUUCUGCACAAACGUCAACUUGUUUUGGUCAUAUCCAGAGUUCUAGGAAGAGUUACGAGCCGUAAAACCUAUGGAUCUGUAGCCCCGUGUUUUAUCUUUGAUUUGGCAUUGGUUUCGUCUAAUUUGGUGACACAGAUAAAAAUUUAUGACUAAAAUACUACAACUUGUCUAGUUUAGUGCACAUACGUGAAGUCUUGACUUAGUCCUUAAUUAAUUCUAGUCACAUAGUCUAGUCCCAUGGUCAUGACACGAGUCAAACAUGUCACCUACACUCACUAGCCUUAGCACUAACUUUGUGUAUAUGUCAUCAUGACCAUGUCUUAGGUUCAUGCAUGAGUCGAUUUUUCCGUCAUUUGAGUUGGAGGUACAUUAUAUUCCUAAUUUUUUCAUAUCUCUCCAUCUACAUCAAAUUUUCAUUCUCUACAUGAUUUCUCCAUACUUAUCAUUCUUCUUUUUCUUCCAUGAUCUUUUCCCAUUUAUUGUAUGUUGAAUAGAUCUUGAGUCAAAUAAUUAACAGUAAGUAUCCCCGAGUUUCCUUUCUACAUCACUUGGUCAUAGAGAGAAGGGCACUACUAUAAAAAUGCUCAAAGAGACCUGAAAUAAGAGACCUGUUAAUUAAAUAACUAGCCUCCUUGUUUUAAGAGACCCAAUUUCAUAGAUAACAGGUCUCUUUGAUAUUGUGUUGUGAGGUUAAAAUUUAACGGAAACCAUCUAUCAUAGAUAAUUGGUCUAUCGUAGUUCUUUUUAUUUGAAAUUUACAAGGGGAGAGACCUGUAUGUCACUUAACCGGUCUCUCUUAAGUUUUUUUAUUUGAACAUUAAAAAGGGAGAAACCAAUAUGCAACUUAACCGGUCUCUCUUAUUUUUUUUCAAAAAAAAAAAAAUUAAGAAAAGGGAGAGACAUGUUACAACUUAACCCUAACACUUCACUAUUCUUCAUUCCGCCACUUCCGCCUCCAACAUUCAAUCUCCAUCUGAUCUUCUUUAUCUUCCUUUUCCUCUCCUCUCUCCUCUCUUUCCUCUUAAACGGAUUUCCUCUCCUUCACCUCUUAAAUCCCCGGAGUAACCCUCCUGUUUGGAGCGUCAAAAUCGUUUGAGAGAUGCGUGGUUGUAGGGGAAUCAAGUUUUGAUUUGGUGAUGAGUGUUGAAGCGAUUUAUUGCAGUUUGCGAGGUUUGAUGAAGCAUUUCCAGUUCUCAAAUUUUGAAAGAGCGAUUUAAGUUCUAUUAUCAUGGUUUAGAAGCAUUUUAUGGGUUUAUGUCGUUAGAUGAUACUCAUUUUAUGUUUGGUUGAUAAAUCGAUUGAUUGUUAUAAAGAUGAAUUGAUGAUCUAGAUUCAAAUUCUUGGGGAUAAUGAUUUCAAAUUUUCCGAGACUACUUAUAUGCUUGUUUUUCACACAAGAAUCUCAUAACAAAAGAGAGAGGAAGAAAUUAGAGUAUUCAAGUAGGCAAGCUACAUGUUUGAUAUAAUUAUAUGUACUAGAAUUUAAUUAAAGUUUGUUAAAAUUUUUUGUUAGUACAAACAUUAAUGUGGCAAUAUAAAUAUAUUAUUCUCUUUUAAUUUUAUCGAAC